GCGCCCGUAGCUCAAUUGGAUAGAGUGUCGGCCUCCGAAGCCGAAGGUUGGUGGUUCGAGCCCACUCGGGCGCGCCA
rnacentral:tRNA from 1 species